rnacentral:lncRNA from 1 species
AAGAAACGGAUGCUUUUAUACACUGGCUCAAACUCUGUACCUUGACAAUUAGCUCUUAAAAUUAUGAAAUGCCAAGCAUGUCAGUGUUUCUGAGUAGUGAUGCAUUUCCCCUUUUAUUUUGUUAGUCUGAAGUUAAAAACAAAGCAUUGAAAUUGGAAGAACUGCAUUCCAAAAUUAAUGAUCUUAAAGAAUUAACUAAAAAUCCAGAAACACCACCAGACCUUCAGUUUAUAGAAGCAGAUUUAAGACAGAAACUGGAGCAUGCCAAAGAAGUAACUGAAGAAGCAAAAGGAACCUUGAAGGACUUUACUGCUCAAAGCAUAAAUGUAGAGAAAUUCAUCAAUGACAGAACGGAGUGGCUGAUGAAAGUGGAAGAGUCCCUGAUGAGCUGUGCCCAAGCCAAGACUUGUAAAGGACUAAAGAAAGUAAAGGUAGGUGCUGGGCUGUCAU